UUUUUUGUUUUAUGAACAGGAAAUGAGCUUUGAGUGUUCAGCUCUUGGAUGAAGAGCUCCACGGUUCAGAUUGUCAGUCUCCUGUGACCUGUGAAGACCCUCUGGUUGUGCUAGGAUCAUUUGAUUGAAGUAUAGAAAUUCACUUGGAUUGUAUAAAUUCAUGAAGAGGUCCUUGAUCUACAAGAUAGAACAGUGAGUUUUGCAACACCAAAAUUCCUGUUGGGAUUCCUGAAGUGGUCACUACAGUGUGAAGUUUAUGACCUGUAGGCACCUGAGCAAUUGGAUCUACCCUUCAAAUAUUCUGAGACAGAGCUUGGGUCUCUUGUCUUUUCCCCAGGGAAAGGUACAUGGAAAAGCCCAGAGGUAUGGAAAACAUGUGGCUUGCAUGCUCAACCAAGAGUGUCAUGGUGGGAACACUGAGCGUCUGGGGAGAGAAUUGUUGCUGACCUGGAGGGUUGGAGAAUUUUACAAUGUAAACUUUUAAAAUUUUGUUUUGCAAUUCAACUUUAGUCCCUCUGUCAGAAAUACUUAAUUGUUUUUCUUUAUCUACAUCCAGGGGAAAGAUAGAAAUUUUCAUAAAUAAAUACAUAAGAGAAAACAACAAAAAAAGUGAAAAAUCCUCACCUAGAAUUCCUCUGUCCUUUGUAUUUCCUCUUACCUAUAAUAUUUAGGUAUAUUUUAUGAAACUAAUUUCUGUUAGCACCAUUAAGUGGAUCUAAAAGAUUAAAGUAAUUUAUAUUCUUACAGUUAGAUACUUUUUGAAUAAUUUUUUGCCAACAAAAAUGGAUCUAAUUAAUAACAAAUUUGCCUAUCCUCCCAAAUGUCUAAAUUUUCCUUUUUUUUACUCUUUGUAAAGACAAAGAAAAUACAGCCCCUCUUUUACUGUUCAAAAGCAAAAAAAAAAAAGAAAUCCUUGCAGUUUUCCAUAUCAAGAGACCCUAAUUAAAAUGUUCCAUUUGAAGGAUUUUUUUGCCAACUCAAAUUCUUGUUAAGCAAAUGUUUUAUUCUUCUUGCUGAAGCAUAAGUCUGCAGUAUUCCUUGAGGGCAAAUUUACAAAAGACCAGUCAUCUCAAAUAUACUGUAACAUGUAUUAUGCCAAUAUCCUGAAAUAUGGAGAAUUUAAGAAAUUUUCAAUGAAUAAGAAUUCAAUGUUCAACAGAUUUUUUAUGUAUCCCUCUGAAAAAAUGAAGUGAUGUUUUAACAUCAUCUUAUCUGAGAAAACAUAUUUUUGCUAUAUAUAAGA
rnacentral:lncRNA from 1 species